rnacentral:rRNA from 1 species
UACGAAGGGGGCUAGCGUUGCUCGGAAUUACUGGGCGUAAAGGGCGCGUAGGCGGCGCUGUUAGUCAGGCGUGAAAGUCCUGGGCUCAACCUGGGAACUGCGCUUGAUACGGCAGAGCUAGAGGAUGGAAGAGGGUCGCGGAAUUCCCAGUGUAGAGGUGAAAUUCGUAGAUAUUGGGAAGAACACCGGUGGCGAAGGCGGCGACCUGGUCCAUUACUGACGCUGAGGCGCGACAGCGUGGGGAGCAAACAGG